UGGGGAAUUUUGGACAAUGGGCGAAAGCCUGAUCCAGCCAUGCCGCGUGAGUGAAGAAGGCCUUCGGGUUGUAAAGCUCUUUUAGUCGGAAAGAAAGAGUUGCAAUGAAUAAUUGUGAUUUAUGACGGUACCGACAGAAAAAGCACCGGCUAACUACGUGCCAGCAGCCGCGGUAAUACGUAGGGUGCGAGCGUUAAUCGGGAUUACUGGGCGUAAAGGGUGCGCAGGCGGUUUUGCAAGUCAGAUGUGAAAGCCCCGGGCUUAACCUGGGAAUUGCGUUUGAAACUACAAGACUAGAGUGCAGCAGAGGGGAGUGGAAUUCCAUGUGUAGCAGUGAAAUGCGUAGAGAUGUGGAAGAACACCGAUGGCGAAGGCAGCUCCCUGGGUUGACACUGACGCUCAUGCACGAAAGCGUGGGGAGCAAACA
rnacentral:rRNA from 1 species